UACAGAGGGUGCGAGCGUUAAUCGGAAUUACUGGGCGUAAAGCGCACGUAGGCGGCUUGGCAUGUCGGGUGUGAAAUCCCCGGGCUCAACCUGGGAACUGCAUCCGAAACUGCCUUGCUCGAGUAUGGGAGAGGGAAGUGGAAUUUCCGGUGUAGCGGUGAAAUGCGUAGAUAUCGGAAGGAACAUCAGGGGCGAAGGCGACUUCCUGGACCAAUACUGGCGCUCAGGUGCGAAGGCGUGGGGAGCAAACAGG
rnacentral:rRNA from 1 species